GCGAACUCCGUGGCAGCAGCCGCGGUAAUACGGUGGAUGCAAGCGUUAAUCGGAAUUACUGGGCGGAAAGCGCGCGCAGGCGGCUUAUUAAGUCAGAUGUGAAAUCCCUAGGCUCAACCUAGGAACUGCAUUUGAAACUAAUAAACUAGAGUAUCGUAGAGGGAGGUAGAAUUCCAGGUGUAGCGGUGAAAUGCGUAGAUAUCUGGAGGAAUACCAGGGGCGAAGGCGACCUCCUGGACGAAAACUGACGCUCAAGCACGAAAGCAUGGGGAGCAAACAGGAUUAGAUACCCUAGUAGUC
rnacentral:rRNA from 1 species